UGCUAGACUCCCUUCCUUCUUCAGGGAUCUUCGACUAAGUAGAAGAGGAGAAAGCAGAGCAUGCUGGGAAAAACACGGGUUAGAAUCAGAAAAUGGCGAUCGUUUUGUAAGACUCUCAUUGGCUAGUGUUUCCGUUGGCCAUUUGUGUUAGUUGCUUUUCUUGGUGCUAUAACAAAAUGCCAGACAAAAUGGAAUUUAAGGAAAGAAGGGUUUAUUGUGGCUCACAGGUUUGAGGACCAAGAACACAGUGGCAGACUUCAAAAUACUCUGGGGACCUGAGAGCAGGGAGAAUUCCUGCACCUUUCUGGAGAGGAGGAAAACGAAAGAGAUUCAGACAGAUACAACAGCACAUAUCAGGGGAAGGGGUUCAGAUGGAGAGUCUGACUUACCAUCACAGAGGAUUGGAACAGACAACGCCACGUCACAGAGGGACUGUUCACACAGUCCCUGAGGUGGAAGACUCUUUAACCAAGUGUCACAGGGUACAAGCAAGCCUCCUAGUGAGUAGCAAAGGGAGCAAGCCGCUGGAUCCAUCAUGUGAAUGGUCCCAGGACAGACAGAGCUUCUAUCCUAAGGACCAAGCUGACUUUCUAUAGCAAGAUGUCAUCAGCGUCUUUUUGAAGGGCCUGCUGUUGGACUCCCUGGGAAGUUCUUUUCAAACUCACAAAGAAGCAUCCACCCCACCGAGCACGGGGGACUACAUGAAGGGAUAAGACAAAGCCAAGGUUGUACGAUCCAAUGAAAGAGUGGAGAACGGGGAGACACUGGAAGUCUUGCCAGGGAAAUUACUGUGGUAGAUCUGCAAGCUGAUCUCCAGACUUGGGCUGUUCAGAUGAACGUUGAUAAACUUCAGAGACACGUCUCCACUUUAUAGCUUUAUCUGAAACACCCCAAAUGCUGGCACUUCUCCCAUCCUGCUCUCUAGUUUUUCCUAAUGAGAGACUGUAAGAUUCAUGCUCUUCAUCACCACUGCAAACUUCUGGUGUUCAGUUGUGCAAUCGUUACAGAAAGCACAUGCCGCAUCGUUCUGUGCCCGUUAAAGUGAGAGACAAAUGACUUGUUUGCUUGAGCGUGUCUGUCUGUCCCUCCUAAGCUCCUGCCUCCAGUAAACCAGUGGAUGCCCCAAACCUACACCAAACAGUUUUAAGUAGGAAGUAGUGUUUAUUUAAAUGUUGUAACAAAUCACAGUUGUAUCCAAUUAUGCAUACAAAACAAUUUUAUGCAAUAGCUAUAUGGUAUGGAGUGGUCGAAUCAAGGCAUGCAACAUGUCUCUCUUCAUGAGAACAUAUUAUUUAUUCUUCUUGUCUUAAUUCAUAUUUGUGUCCUUUGAUUCUUAUCUCUCCAUUCUUUCCCCUCUCUAGGCCCUUGCGAACACGUCUUCACUUUCCGUUUAAGUUUGUCUUGUAUUCUAUGUAUACAUAGAAUGUGAAAGAUAAACCUUGCCUUUAUCUUUCAGGGCCUGGCAUAUUACACAGUGCUCUCCAGGUCCAUCUGUGACUGAUGGAAUUUCCCCCUUGUCGGGUGAGGAAUGAGUGCUAGUGUCAUUUUUGUUUGUUUGGUUGUUGUUGUUGUUUUUAUUGUUAUUGCUUUGCAUAGAGCAGAGAAGCUGGCCCCCGAGCUUCUAAGGAGUUCUCCCUUCUCUGCCUCUUGAGUAUCAACACUGGGAUUAUAGAUGUGCACUACUAAGUCCAGAUAACAUGGGGAUGCUAACUCAUAUCCUCGCACAUGGAGCAAGUGCUUUAUCCAGUGAGAUCGUCUCCCUACCCCUGAUGGUCUCCUUUUGAAAGGCUGAAUAGUAACUCUUUCGGUAAAGAUACCAUAUUAUCUGUGCCUAUUCCUCCUCUGAUAGACAAAAAAUAAUGCACCUCUGACUUGACUUCAGUGAAUGAUACUGAAGUGAGCAUGAUAGGGCAUUUGCCUUUAAGAUAAUGGGUUUGAUUCCUCGGUAGUUUGAAUCCUUGAUACUUACUAGAGGGAGGAUUGCUGCAUUUAAAUUUUUUUGAUUUCGCUGUUCUCAAAAACACCCCAUUGUUCCUGCUAGCCAGUGUUUUCUCUUAGUGCAAUGAAUAAUCCCAGCUUGUUUAACUCUAAGAUUUCUACUGCUAGUGGUUUCUUCAAAACCCACGUAAAAAGCCUGUUGUUGUCAUGUGGAAUUCCACAUGGGAAUUCUAGCAUGUGGAAGGCAGGGACAGAGGCAUCCCUCGUCACUUAAUCAGCUACCUGGUGAUUAGUCUUAAUCAGUCUACUUGGUGAGUUCUAGUCCAGUGAGAGUACCUGUCUAAAACAAACAGAAAUGGCACCUGGGUUGGCCUUUGACUUUCCCAUAC
rnacentral:sRNA from 1 species